GUGAUUAGCAUCUUCUAAGAUUGGCUUUUUUUUUUUCAAUACAUUUGCCCUCUUUAGUCCUUCUAUUUACCAGAAUGGAGUGCUCUGUACAAUAUUUCCCUAACUAUCACUGCACAUCAGAAAUCACAGAUGUAUUUUUCUUUAACACACUGAUAUUUUAGUACAGACUUGUGAGAUAUAUUAUUUACCACAACAACAUGGCAUGGACCUACUGCAAACAAAC